rnacentral:rRNA from 1 species
UGGGUCAGCGACUUAUAUUCAGUAGCGAGGUUAACCGUAUAGGGGAGCCGUAGAGAAAUCGAGUCUUAAUAGGGCGUUUAGUUGCUGGGUAUAGACCCGAAACCAGGCGAUCUAUCCAUGAGCAGGUUGAAGGUUGGGUAACACUAACUGGAGGACCGAACCCACUGUCGUUGAAAAGCCAGGGGAUGACUUGUGGAUAGGGGUGAAAGGCUAAUCAAGCCUGGUGAUAGCUGGUUCUCCCCGAAAGCUAUUUAGGUAGCGCCUCGGACGAAUACCAUAGGGGGUAGAGCACUGUUUCGGCUAGGGGGUCAUCCCGACUUACCAAACCGAUGCAAACUCCGAAUACCUAUGAGUACUAUCCGGGAGACAGACUGCGGGUGCUAACGUCCGUAGUCAAGAGGAAAACAAUCCAGACCGCCAGCUAAGGCCCCAAAAUCAUAGUUAAGUGGGAAACGAUGUGGGAAGGCAUAGACAGCUAGGAGGUUGGCUUAGAAGCAGCCACCCUUUAAAGAAAGCGUAAUAGCUCACUAGUCGAGUCGGCCUGCGCGGAAGAUGUAACGGGGCUAAAACUAUGUGCCGAAGCUGCGGAUGUAUACUUUGUAUACGUGGUAGGGGAGCGUUCUGUAAGCCGAUGAAGGUGUGUUGAGAAGCAUGCUGGAGGUAUCAGAAGUGCGAAUGCUGACGUGAGUAACGACAAAACGGGUGAAAAACCCGUUCGCCGAAAGACCAAGGGUUCCAGUCCAACGUUAAUCGGGGCUGGGUGAGUCGACCCCUAAGGCGAGGCCGAAAGGCGUAGUCGAUGGGAAAAUGGUUAAUAUUCCAUUACUUCUGUGUAAUGCGAUGAGAGGACGGAGAAGGCUAAAUCAGCCUGGCGUUGGUUGUCCAGGUGAAAGGAUGUAGGCAUGUAUCUUAGGCAAAUCCGGGGUACUCUAUGCUGAGAUCUGAUAGCAAGCUGUACUUGUACAGCGAAGUGGUUGAUGCCAUGCUUCCAGGAAAAGUCUCUAAGCUUCAGUUACACAGGAAUCGUACCCGAAACCGACACAGGUGGUCAGGUCGAGUAGACCAAGGCGCUUGAGAGAACUCUGCUGAAGGAACUAGGCAAAAUGGUACCGUAACUUCGGGAGAAGGUACGCUGUUGUUGGUGAUGGAACUCGCUUCCUGAGCUGACGACAGCCGCAGAAACCAGGCCGCUGCAACUGUUUAUUAAAAACAUAGCACUCUGCAAACACGAAAGUGGACGUAUAGGGUGUGAUGCCUGCCCGGUGCUGGAAGGUUAAUUGAUGGGGUUAGCGUAAGCGAAGCUCUUGAUCGAAGCCCCAGUAAACGGCGGCCGUAACUAUAACGGUCCUAAGGUAGCGAAAUUCCUUGUCGGGUAAGUUCCGACCUGCACGAAUGGCAUAAUGAUGGCGGCGCUGUCUCCAGCAGAGGCUCAGUGAAAUCGAAAUCGCUGUGAAGAUGCAGUGUACCCGCGGCUAGACGGAAAGACCCCGUGAACCUUUACUGCAGCUUGACACUGAACUUUGACCUUACUUGUGUAGGAUAGGUGGGAGGCUUUGAAGCUGGAACGCUAGUUCCAGUGGAGCCGUCCUUGAAAUACCACCCUGGUAAUGUUGAGGUUCUAACUCUGUCCCGUGAUCCGGGACGAGGACCGUGUCUGGUGGGUAGUUUGACUGGGGCGGUCUCCUCCUAAAGAGUAACGGAGGAGUACGAAGGUGCGCUCAGCGUGGUCGGAAAUCACGCGUAGAGUAUAAAGGCAAAAGCGCGCUUAACUGCGAGACCCACAAGUCGAGCAGGUACGAAAGUAGGUCUUAGUGAUCCGGUGGUUCUGUAUGGAAGGGCCAUCGCUCAACGGAUAAAAGGUACUCUGGGGAUAACAGGCUGAUACCGCCCAAGAGUUCAUAUCGACGGCGGUGUUUGGCACCUCGAUGUCGGCUCAUCUCAUCCUGGGGCUGAAGCAGGUCCCAAGGGUAUGGCUGUUCGCCAUUUAAAGAGGUACGCGAGCUGGGUUUAGAACGUCGUGAGACAGUUCGGUCCCUAUCUACCGUGGGCGCUGGAAAUUUGAGAGGAUCUGCUCCUAGUACGAGAGGACCAGAGUGGACGAACCUCUGGUGUACCGGUUGUGACGCCAGUCGCAUCGCCGGGUAGCUAUGUUCGGAAGGGAUAACCGCUGAAAGCAUCUAAGCGGGAAGCCUACCUCAAGAUAAGAUUUCCCUAGGACUUUAUGUCCUCUAAAGAGCCGUUCGAGACUAGGACGUUGAUAGGUUGGAUGUGGAAGCAUAGUGAUAUGUGAAGCUGACCAAUACUAAUUGCUCGUGAGGCUUGACUAU